ACCUCAUGAUUUGGGCAUUGGACUAGCUUUCCAUUAAAACUCUCCAUGCUUCAAAUAAUAGUUCUCCAUUCAAUUGUUGAAAGUUGACAAUCUCAUCCCUCUUUUGAAGCA
rnacentral:snoRNA from 1 species